rnacentral:rRNA from 1 species
GACGAACGCUGGCGGCGUGCUUAACACAUGCAAGUCGAACGGAAAGGCCCUGCUUUUGUGGGGUGCUCGAGUGGCGAACGGGUGAGUAACACGUGAGUAACCUGCCCUUGACUUUGGGAUAACUUCAGGAAACUGGGGCUAAUACCGGAUAGGAGCUCCUGCUGCAUGGUGGGGGUUGGAAAGUUUCGGCGGUUGGGGAUGGACUCGCGGCUUAUCAGCUUGUUGGUGGGGUAGUGGCUUACCAAGGCUUUGACGGGUAGCCGGCCUGAGAGGGUGACCGGCCACAUUGGGACCGAGAUACGGCCCAGACUCCUACGGGAGGCAGCAGUGGGGAAUAUUGCACAAUUGGCGGAAGCCUGAUGCAGCAACGCCGCGUGCGGGAUGACGGCCUUCGGGUUGUAAACCGCUUUCGCCUGUGACGAAGCGUGAGUGACGGUAAUGGGUAAAGAAGCACCGGCUAACUACGUG